ensembl:scaRNA small Cajal body-specific RNA 6
GGUCAGUGAUGAGCAGUAAAAGGUCUGAUUACCCACAAUCCUCUCCUGCUGCCCUCUGGCUCCCAGCAGCCCCUGCUCUCUGCUCCCAUCAGGUUCUAGUUGUGUCCUGGUGGUUCCAGGAGCUGCUGACAGACAGGAAGUGACAUCACAGUGUGGGUCUGUGCAGAGAACCUACAGGCUCAGUGUGGUUAUUGACAUCCAACAGAACCAAUCAGCAUGGAGCGCCAGGCUGAGGAGGAGGAGGGAGCUGAUCUCAAGUUUUCAACCUGAGACC